GUUGUUUAAAAGUCCUGGUUGCAUAAAACCCUGCCAUUCCAGACACGAAACAGAGUAUCUGAUCAGGUCAAAAACAGUGAAGACAGAAACUGUGAAAUCUGUUAAAACGCAAAGCAAAAAGAACGUUUUUUUUAAUGUGUUCACCACUUCACAGGGGAAAAAUACAUGAAACUCUCAACAACAUCAAGAAACAGAACAACGGCAUAGCAUGGAACUGUGUCCUUUUAAAGGCAAGUCUGUUUGUCGUGUUGCCUUUUUAGAACGAUACGAUUUACCAGUGGCUAGAGAUGCCCAUGAUAAACAUAGGUUGGUGGUAACCGUUAGAUAGAUCACGUAAGAGUUUGACUAAAACCAUGGAAACGCCAUGCACGUGUCCUCCCGUGGAGGAUAAAUCUAGAAUCUCCUCAUUGCCUCAGCAAAAUGAGCCUACAUUUAGUCUAUUGUUCAUAUGUGUAUAUUUCACACUAUGUUGAGGUGAAAAUAAAAGUGUAAUGCUUGUAUGGUUUUAACCUCGAAUACAUGUUCAUUCCAUCGCCAUCAAUCAACUGCAUUACACUUCAACUUCCACCACCACCAGCUAUGCUCCACCAUUACCAGCUUAUCCGAACGGGAGUCACCAGUUAGCAAAGGACAACUUCUAAAUAUUAUGCAGUAAAACAGCCAAAUACUGUAUAUCCAAAUCAGAUUUUAGUAACUACAUUGUUGGCCUUUUAGAACACAUCAUUUACGACAGAUUUGACAAAUAAUAACUUUUCUGAAUGAGUGCCAAUGACGGCGUCCCUGUCCUGUCCCCCACGGUCUGAGUUCCAUUGAUGUCUCACCAUAUGUUUUGGUAGUGGCAGAGCUACUUCUCGUGGCUCUCUCAAUUUAAACAAUAACACUUUGUUACUGAGGGCCACCAUCCUGAAUACAGUAAGUGCUUUAAUGCCAGUGAGUCCAGGAAACUGCAAACGGACGCUAGAUCAGUAUGGUCGAAAAACAAAUGGUGUCGUCUCAUAUAUGGUUUCAGAGAAAAGGGAUUCUGACUGACACUGUCUCGUGUCUAUGACAUCAUUAAUCACAGAGGUACUAAACAUAGGAAUGUUUACUGAACCAUAGAUACUGACCCUUAGUUUAAAAGAACUACUUGGUUGUUUAAAGUUACAUUCUGUUACUUUCAAUUCCAGUUCGAAGUGCUGUCACUGAACUUGUGUAUAUAAAGUGAAGAGAGUGUGUUUUGGCAGAUAGAACCGGGCGAUUUUUGUUCAGCGUCUUGGCCAAGUGUGUUUGCAAUACAUUGAGUAGCCACUGAGGAUAUUCAAGUUACAGAUUGUAUCCUUACAACGUUGUAUUCAAAUGAAUUGACUUUAUAUCGCUCUGAAUAGAAGUGUCAUAUACAAUGCAUAUCCCUGUCUAUCUGAGUUGAAUGAUCAGUCAUUUAGUGACAAAUUCAGGAUAUCAGCUACCACUUUAAAAAUGGCUGUGUUAGUUUGUAUUACAUAGGCACCAAAGACUGUCUGGCAUCACCCAAAGUUGGGAAAACAUAUUUGUCUUUCCUCUCCCUGUUUCUGCAUGGAACUGAGUGCUGAAAACAUAGUUGAAUAUCUAAACAUAUGUAAACAUACAUUACAUUUCAAUAUAUUUACUAUAGAUAUCAAUAUAUGUUUAUGAGCUACUCACUGAGCACCGACGCUGUUGCACAGAUAACUUACAGGCGUUUAGAAAAUAUAUUGUAUGAAUAUAUUUAUUAUAUAUUUGUAUACAUAUGUAUUGCAGCCCUGACCCUCUGGACUGAUAUAGUGGUGAUGAUAUUGUUUCUUCUACUCUAUGACUAUCAUUGUAACGGUUAUCACCGCUCUGGGUAACACUGACAUCACUUAGUUAGAUUGUAGGAUUGUGGUUCACAAAAGGAGUCUCUAUAGUACACUACUUUUUAAUAGAGCCCUAUGGGCCCUCGUCAGAAGAAGUGCACUAUAAACGGAAUAGGGUGCCAUUUGGGACGCACACAAACAGCAUGGCGAUCGCUAGCAACAUCCAAUGGUUUUCUGACUGCUGUGGGGUCAAAGUACACAUAUCAAACACUUAGGUGGUCAGUAACCUCCAGGACAUCGUCAGAUUUAAAAAAACACAACACACACACACACACACACACACACACACACACACACACACACACACACACACACACACACACACACACACACACACACACACACACACACACACACACACACACACACAGUCCUAAGCCAUCUGUAGAAGUCUCUCAGUCUUCCAAAAUUCCACAACCAAUAUUAUUUUCAUUUUACAAUGCUCUGUAUUCCCAUGUUUAGUAUUCCCAUUUUCCCAUUUUCCCAUUUCUCCACAUGUCCACAGGUCUCUGGUUCCAGUGCUUCACUGCUGGACCUGCUUCAAGCUGAAAU
ensembl:lncRNA